AUACUUACCUGGCAGGGGAGAUACCAUGAUCACGAAGGUGGUUUUCCCAGGGCGAGGCUUAUCCAUUGCACUCCAGAUGUGCUGACCCCUGCGAUUUCCACCCCCUCCCCCACCCAAAAAUACAGCUGAAGUAUUUCUCAAC
ensembl:snRNA U1 U1 spliceosomal RNA